UGAGUUUGGGGGACCUGGGCUCAGUGUCGCUACUCUGCUCCCUAUUUAGUGACUCUAGUGCGUACCUACUGGCACGAACCAUCGCAAUUGGCAGGGGGCCUAGUGAUAACUCCAGACUAGCCGAGUGGUCUUGCUGGUCAGUUGCCCCCGUAUAUCGUCGUCAAAUCCCUCGAGGCACAUGUCGACAAGCUACAAGUACACCCACAUCCUAUGUUGGGAGCGCAACCCCACAACAUUGCAGGCCAGGGGUCCUAUAGGAUUCCGUGGUCACACACAAAGAAAAAAGUACGAAGAAGGAAAAAGGAAAGGCGGGAAAACGCGAAUUUCAACGUUGGUCGCGGAAAAACGCGGAUUUUGAUUUUGGGCACGGAGAAACGCAGAUUUCGAUACUUUUCACGGAAAAACGCGGGUUUAUCAUUUGUAUAAAUAGCGCGCAAAUAAUCAGUAGUCGCAGAACUCGUUCUGUGCUGCUGAGAAUCGUGAUUUUUUUUUCCGUCGUGAGCCUUGUACGUUCCAGGUACCGGGGGAAUUGGGACAGAUGAUCGUAACAUGCUAACACAACAAGAAAACGUCUGCUACACUUCCCCGAAAAAUGUCGGCAGGAAUGGGCGGUCUACAGGCAGGUAGACCACAGCACCGGAAUAGUCCAUCCGAUAGUCUUUCGGAAAGGCCUAGCUCUACGUAGUCCCAAGCUCUCCCAGGCUGCGAUACCGUUGCUGCAAGUCCCGGUCUCAUCUGCUGAUGUAGAGCGGAGCUUCAGCAAGCUGGGAAGUUUGUUCCGGCCUCAACGCCAGCGUCUAACCCAGGAGGAUGCCGCCGGGAUGCUCCCUACAACAACAACUUUAUUUUAAGAUGAUGAAGGGGGAGUUUCAUCGCCAGGGGCGAUGCUCUACCCCAAUGCCGGUGGUGAUGUGGGGAAUUAAAUAAUGAGCCCCUUCACAAUAAGGAUCGAUGUCCUAUUCAAAAGAGCUUUGACCUUUUAAUGCAGCUGCGUAAUCUUUUCGUCGAAUGCUUUGAGAUAGCGUGCCUCUAACAUUUUUGUGAUAUUUUGUGAUAUGAUAUAUAUGUGCGCGGUUCGUUGAAUGUACUGACGUUAGUGGUGGUAUACAUCACGAACUGAGCUAGAAAAAUAAAGCAUAUUUAUAUUUAA